rnacentral:rRNA from 1 species
CCAUCGGUUCGGCGGGAACUCAAAGGAGAACUGCCAGUGAUAAACCUGGAGGAAGGUGGGGAUGACGUACAAGUCAUUCAUGGCCCUUACCGAGUAGGGCUAGCACACGUGAUAUCAAUGGCAUAUACCAAAGAGAGCGACCUCGACGAGAGCAAGCGGACCUCACAAACGUAUGUCGUAGUCCGGAUCGGAGUCUGCAACUCGACUCCGUGAAGUCGGGAAAUCGACUAGUAAGUCGUAGAUCAAGAAUGCUAAAGGUGAGGUA